rnacentral:rRNA from 1 species
CUUAAGCAUAUCAAUAAGCGGAGGAAAAGAAACUAACAAGGAUUCCCCUAGUAACUGCGAGUGAAGCGGGAAAAGCUCAAAUUUAAAAUCUGGUGGUCUCUGGCCAUCCGAGUUGUAAUCUAGAGAAGUGUUACCCGCGUCGGACCGUGUAUAAGUCUCCUGGAAUGGAGCGUCAUAGAGGGUGAGAAUCCCGUCUUUGACACGGACUACCGAGGCUUUGUGGUAUGCUCUCAAAGAGUCGAGUUGUUUGGGAAUGCAGCUCAAAAUGGGUGGUAAAUUCCAUCUAAAGCUAAAUAUUGGCGAGAGACCGAUAGCGAACAAGUACCGUGAGGGAAAGAUGAAAAGAACUUUGGAAAGAGAGUUAAACAGUACGUGAAAUUGCUGAAAGGGAAACGCUUGAAGUCAGUCGCGUUGGCCGGGAAUCAGCCUUGCUUUUGCUUGGUGUACUUUCUGGUUGACGGGCCAGCAUCAGUUUUGACCGGUGGAAAAAGUUCAGGGGAAUGUGGCAUCUUCGGGUGUGUUAUAGCCCUUGUUCGUAUACAUCGGUUGGGACUGAGGAACUCAGCACGCCGCAAGGCCGGGUCUUUGACCACGUUCGUGCUUAGGAUGCUGGCAUAAUGGCUUUAAUCGACCCGUCUUGAAACACGGACCAAGGAGUCUAACAUGCCUGCGAGUGUUUGGGUGGAAAACCCGAGCGCGUAAUGAAAGUGAAAGUUGAGAUCCCUGUCAUGGGGAGCAUCGACGCCCGGACCUGACGUUUUCUGACGGCCCUGCGGUAGAGCAUGUAUGUUGGGACCCGAAAGAUGGUGAACUAUGCCUGAAUAGGGUGAAGCCAGAGGAAACUCUGGUGGAGGCUCGUAGCGAUUCUGACGUGCAAAUCGAUCGUCAAAUUUGGGUAUAGGGGCGAAAGACUAAUCGAACCAUCUAGUAGCU